AUCAAACGGGACCAAACUCAAAGAACUCUCCUUUUUUUCUAUUGUUUUUCUCUAAAUUUUCUAACCUUUGUUUCACAUGUUCUUCUACUGCUUUUUUUCAAAAUAUUUUUAAUCUUCUCUUCUUUUCACUUGCUCUCCCUCACUAUUUUCCUUGUUUUUUUUCUUAUUCUCUUUUUGUUGUCAGUCUCUCUCCAUUCCUUUUUUUUUGUUGUUGUUUUUCAAUCUCCUUUUUUUCUUCCGUUUCAUUUUGGUUUUAU
rnacentral:lncRNA from 1 species